UGGAUGCAAUGGAAUGCACUGUCGCCAAUACCCUCAGGACGCUGAGACCAAAGGUUUAUUUGAGUCAAGAAUCGGCUCAUGUUUGAACUCUGGGAAUCACCUGUCUCUACCACUCGUGAUUAGCCAAACAGUUCUGAGUUGGAAGGAACUAUGCACCCAAGACUAAUUUUGAAAUACGAUUGUGAAAGGAAUACAAGGAACAAAAUUGAAUGCUGGGAGAUUCUGUAAUCAAGAUGAAUAGUUUCUCAACAUUAAGGAACUGUGAGGAUGUUGGGCUAGAGCUCUGCAUCCAGCAGAGCACCGGAUACUUUCACUUCUUUAUCAUGAGCAUGGUGAAUGCUGUCUUCAAUGCACAGAGAACAGGAUGCUGAGAGAUCUUAAGGGGUUGUUCAAUGCCAGUGAAGCUGACUAUGUACAAAGCUAAGUGUCUCUUCUGCCUUAUUUGUUUCUCCUUCUCAUAUGAUCACCAGCUCAUGUUCACUUACCCAAUAAGUGGUGCAACUUAAAACCUACAGCUAGCAAAGAUACUGGACCCAUGGAAUUAAACUGCAUGUCUGAAUCCAUUCUCCUCUUUCUCCCGAUGAUACAAACAGCACCCCUUCCUUCCAUCACACUGGUAGAUUAUGGUAAGACUGCUGAACUCCCUCCCUAGUGUAAAAGGUGGCUACUGUUCAUGACACUCCUCUCUCUGGAUUGUCCAUCCUGACUUUGUCCAUCUGCUCUCAAGCCCAUUUGCUCCAUCUGUGCUUUAAGAUUGUGCUUCUCCCUUCCACUGUUCGUCAUGUAACAUCAGAUCAUACCCUUGAACUAAGUCAGUGAGAUAAUAUAUCUAAAAAGCAGGCUGAAAACGAUACUGUUGAUGACAGCUGUUUUGAGUGUUAUGGUUUGUAUAUGCUUGCCCCAAGGAAUGGCACUAUUAGAAGGUAUGGCCUUGUUAGAGUAGGUGUGGUCUUGGUGAAAUAGAUGUGUCACUGUGGAUGUGGGCUUUAAGACCCUCAUCCUGCCUGUCUGGAAGCUAGUAUUCUGCUAGCAGCCUUCAGAUGAAGUUGUAGAACUCUCAGCUCCUCCUGCACCAUGCCUGCCUGGAUGCUGCCAUGUUUCCACAUUGAUGAUAAUGGACUGAACCUCUGAACCUAUAAGGCUGCCCCAAUUAAAUGUUGUCCUUAUAAGAGUUGCCUUGGUCAUGGUGUCUGUUCACAGCAGUAAAACCCUAACUAAUACAUAAGAGUUUUGUACUUAGCACAACAUAUGUCAAAUGGUAAUAAAUCAAUAAACAUUUGUACUAGCUUAUGGUUU
rnacentral:lncRNA from 1 species